CAGUAGCGUAUAUUAAAGUUGUUGCAGUUAAAAAGCUCGUAGUUGGAUUUCUGGUAGAGUAUGUUUGGCCCGCUUUGUUUUCAAAGUGAGUGCUGAACAGACCUGCCAUCCUUCCGGCUAGUGGCGCUUCCACUUCAUUGGGGUUGCGUCAUGAACCGGAUCUUUUACUUUGAAAAAAUUAGAGUGUUUAAAGCAGGCUUGCGCUAUGAAUACAUUAGCAUGGAAUAAUGAUAUAGGACUUUUGUUCUAGUUUUGUUGGUUUCUAGGAUGGAAGUAAUGAUUGAUAGGGAUAGUUGGGGGUGCUAGUAUUCCACGGCCAGAGGUGAAAUUCUUGGAUUCGUGGAAGACUAACUUAUGCGAAAGCAUUCACCAAGGAUGUCUUCUUUAAUCAAGAACGAAAGUUGGGGAUCGAAGAUGAUUAGAUACCAU
rnacentral:rRNA from 1 species